GCACUGAAUAGCCUAGCGGCCGAGAGGUUAGCGAAGCUUAUCAAACUCAGAAUGCCAGAGUAUUGAUGCUUGGGAGUCAGACAGUGUCAGAUAAAUGUCAUUGUCAAAAGGGAAACAGCCCAGAUCUACAGCUAAGGUCCCAAAGUCAGGUUAAGUGGAAAACGAUGUGAAGAUACGCAGACAACCAGGAUGUUGGCUCAGAAGCAGCCACUCAUUCAAAGAGUGCGUAAUAGCUCACUGGUCGAGCGUCUUUGCGCGGAGAAUUUAACGGGGCUAAACCUGACACCGAAGCUUAGGCAAUCCAGUAAUGGAUUGGGUAGGGGAGCGUUGUAUACGCGGAGAAACAGUAGCGUAAGCGGCUGUGGAGUGUAUAGAAGUGAGAAUGCCGGAAUGAGUAGCGCGAAUGCAGUGAGAAUCUGCAUGGCCGAAAGCCUCAGGUUUUUGGAGGAAGGUUCGUCCGCUCCAAGUUAGUCGGGAGCUAAGGUGAGGCCGGAAGGCGUAGCCGAUGCACAGACGGUAGAGAUUCCGUCACCACCAAAAGAGUUAAGCACAGGGACACAUUUGAAGUCUCAGAGCCGGGUGUUGGUUCCGGUAGAGAUCGAGGGAAGUUAGUACCGAAGUCUGGGAUGGAAGAUGGCGAGAAAAGCUGUGUGUAUUUCUGAGGUGCCCGUACCGCAAACCGACACAGGUAGGUAGGAAGAAGAUUCUAAGGCCAACGGGAGAAGGGUUGUUAAGGAACUCGGCAAAUUGACCCCGUAACUUCGGGAGAAGGGGUGCUCCAGAGAUGGAGCCGCAGAGAAUCGGCCCAAGCAACUGUUUACCAAAAACACAGGUUUGUGCUAAAUCGAAAGAUGACGUAUACGAGCUGACGCCUGCCCGGUGCUGGAAGGUUAAGAGGAGAUGUGCAAGCAUUGAAUCGAAGCCCCAGUGAACGGCGGCCGUAACUAUAACGGUCCUAAGGUAGCGAAAUUCCUUGUCAGGUAAGUUCUGACCCGCAUGAAAGGCGUAAUGAUUUGGGCACUGUCUCAACAGCCCGCCCGGCGAAAUUGUAGUACCGGUGAAGAUGCCGGUUACCCGCGACAAGACGGAAAGACCCCAUGGAGCUUUACUGUAGCCUAAUAUUGGGUUUCGAUGUUGCAUGCACAGGAUAGAUGGGACACAGGGAAACAAUCGCUUUGGCGGUUGCGGAGUGGCCGUUGGGAUACCAUCCUUGCGAUAUUGGAAUUCUAACCUGCGGCUCUGAAUCGAGUCGGGGGACAUUGUUAGGUGGGCAGUUUGACUGGGGCGGUCGCCUCCUAAAAAGUAACGGAGGCGUUCAAAGGUUCGCUCAGCUUGAACGGAAAUCAAGCAAAAGAGUGCAAACGCAGAAGCGAGCCUAACUGCGAGACUGACGGGUCGAGCAGUAACGAAAGUUGGAGUUAGUGAUCCGGUGGUAUGUGAGUGGAAAUGCCAUCGCUCAACGGAUAAAAGUUACCCUGGGGAUAACAGGCUGAUCUCCCCCAAGAGUCCACAUCGACGGGGAGGUUUGGCACCUCGAUGUCGGCUCAUCGCAUCCUGGGGCUGUAUUCGGUCCCAAGGGUUUGGCUGUUCGCCAAUUAAAGCGGUACGCGAGCUGGGUUCAGAACGUCGUGAGACAGUUCGGUCCCUAUCUGUCGUGGGCGCAGGAUAUUUGAUGGGAGCUGUCCCUAGUACGAGAGGACCGGGACGGACGUACCUCUGGCGCACCAGUUGUUCCGCCAGGAGCAUAGCUGGGCAACUACGUACGGAUCGGAUAAACGCUGAAAGCAUCUAAGCGUGAAGCCGACCCAAAGAUAAGAUAUCCCACUGAUUUGAUCAGGUAAGACCCCUUGAAGACUACAAGGUCGAUAGGCACGAUGUGUAAGUGGAGUGAUCCAUUCAGCAAGCGUGUACUAAUAGGUCGAGGGCUUGACCA
rnacentral:rRNA from 1 species